GCCUUUGUGGUGUAAUGGUCAGCACACUCCGCUCGUAUUGGAGAGGUCCGAGGUUCAAAUCCCGGCGAGGGCG
rnacentral:tRNA from 1 species